UACAGAGGGUGCAAGCGUUAAUCGGAAUUACUGGGCGUAAAGCGUGCGUAGACGGUUACAUAAGUCGGGUGUGAAAGCCCCGGGCUCAACCUGGGAAUUGCAUUCGAGACUGCGUAGCUAGGGUGCGGAAGAGGGAAGCGGAAUUUCCGGUGUAGCGGUGAAAUGCGUAGAUAUCGGAAGGAACACCAGUGGCGAAAGCGGCUUCCUGGUCCAGCACCGACGUUCAGGCACGAAAGCGUG
rnacentral:rRNA from 1 species